rnacentral:rRNA from 1 species
CACGUAGGGCGCGAGCGUUGUCCGGAAUUAUUGGGCGUAAAGAGCUCGUAGGCGGUUUGUCACGUCUGCUGUGAAAACUGGAGGCUCAACCUUCAGCCUGCAGUGGGUACGGGCAGACUAGAGUGCGGUAGGGGAGAUUGGAAUUCCUGGUGUAGCGGUGGAAUGCGCAGAUAUCAGGAGGAACACCAAUGGCGAAGGCAGAUCUCUGGGCCGUAACUGACGCUGAGGAGCGAAAGCAUGGGGAGCGAACAGG